GCUUAACACAUGCAAGUCGAGGGGCAGCGGGGAGGAAGCUUGCUUUCUCCGCCGGCGACCGGCGCACGGGUGAGUAACACGUAUGCAACCUGCCCCUGUCAGGGGGACAACCCGCCGAAAGGCGGGCUAAACCCGCGUACAUGCCACCGGGGCAUCCCGGAGGCAGGAAAGGCUUCGGCCGGACAGGGAUGGGCAUGCGGCGCAUUAGGCAGUAGGCGGGGUAACGGCCCACCUAACCGACGAUGCGUAGGGGUUCUGAGAGGAAGGUCCCCCACACUGGUACUGAGACACGGACCAGACUCCUACGGGAGGCAGCAGUGAGGAAUAUUGGUCAAUGGUCGGGAGACUGAACCAGCCAAGCCGCGUGAGGGAUGAAGGUACAGAGUAUCGUAAACCUCUUUUGUCAGGGAACAAAGGCGGGGACGUGUCCCCGGAUGAGUGUACCUGAAGAGAAAGCAUCGGCUAACUCCGUGCCAGCAGCCGCGGUAAUACGGAGGAUGCGAGCGUUAUCCGGAUUUAUUGGGUUUAAAGGGUGCGCAGGCGGUCUGUUAAGUCAGCGGUCAAAGCCCGGGGCUCAACCCCGGCCCGCCGUUGAAACUGGCAGUCUCGAGUUGGAGAGAAGUAUGCGGAAUGCGCGGUGUAGCGGUGAAAUGCAUAGAUAUCGCGCAGAACUCCGAUUGCGAAGGCAGCAUGCCGGCUCCACACUGACGCUGAGGCACGAAAGCGUGGGUAUCGAACAGGAUUAGAUACCCUGGUAGUCCACGCAGUAAACGAUGAAUGCUGGCUGUCCGGGGGGGAUUGACCCCUGGGUGGCGAAGCGAAAGCGAUAAGCAUUCCACCUGGGGAGUGCGCCGGCAACGGUGAAACUCAAAGGAAUUGACGGGGGCCCGCACAAGCGGAGGAACAUGUGGUUUAAUUCGAUGAUACGCGAGGAACCUUACCCGGGCUCAGACGGGGAGUGACUCAGGCAGAGACGCCUGUUUCCCACGGGACACUCCCCGAGGUGCUGCAUGGUUGUCGUCAGCUCGUGCCGUGAGGUGUCGGCUUAAGUGCCAUAACGAGCGCAACCCCCGCGUGCAGUUGCUAACAGAUAACGCUGAGGACUCUGCACGGACUGCCGGCGCAAGCCGCGGGGAAGGCGGGGAUGACGUCAAAUCAGCACGGCCCUCACGUCCGGGGCGACACACGUGUUACAAUGGGUGGUACAGCGGGAAGCCAGGCGGCGACGCCGAGCGGAACCCGAAAUCCACUCUCAGUUCGGAUCGGAGUCUGCAACCCGACUCCGUGAAGCUGGAUUCGCUAGUAAUCGCGCAUCAGCCAUGGCGCGGUGAAUACGUUCCCGGGCCUUGUACACACCGCCCGUCAAGCCAUGGGAGCCGAGGGCGCUUGAAGUC
rnacentral:rRNA from 1 species